UACGGAGGGUGCAAACGUUGCUCGGAAUCAUUGGGCGUAAAGAGCUCGUAGGCGGCCUGUUGCGUCCGCUGUGAAAUCCCGGGGCUUAACCCCGGGCGUGCAGUGGAUACGGGCUGGCUGGAGGCAGGCAGGGGAGAACGGAAUUCCCGGUGUAGCGGUGAAAUGCGCAGAUAUCGGGAGGAACACCGGUGGCGAAGGCGGUUCUCUGGGCCUGUACUGACGCUGAGGAGCGAAAGCGUGGGGAGCGAACAGG
rnacentral:rRNA from 1 species